UACGUAGGGGGGCAAGCGUUGUCCGGAUUUAUUGGGCGUAAAGAGCGUGUAGGCGGCCACACAGGUCUGCUGUGAAAACUCGAGGCUCAACCUCGAGCUGUCGGUGGAAACCGUGUGGCUAGAGUCCGGAAGAGGAGAGUGGAAUCCCGGUGUAGCGGUGAAAUGCGCAGAUAUCGGGAAGAACACCCGUGGCGAAGGCGGCUCUCUGGGACGGUACUGACGCUGAGACGCGAAAGCGUGGGGAGCGAACAGG
rnacentral:rRNA from 1 species